rnacentral:rRNA from 1 species
UGAGGUGCUUGCACCUUAUCUUAGCGGCGGACGGGUGAGUAAUGCUUAGGAAUCUGCCUAUUAGUGGGGGACAACAUUCCGAAAGGAAUGCUAAUACCGCAUACGCCCUACGGGGGAAAGCAGGGGAUCUUCGGACCUUGCGCUAAUAGAUGAGCCUAAGUCGGAUUAGCUAGUUGGUGGGGUAAAGGCCUACCAAGGCGACGAUCUGUAGCGGGUCUGAGAGGAUGAUCCGCCACACUGGGACUGAGACACGGCCCAGACUCCUACGGGAGGCAGCAGUGGGGAAUAUUGGACAAUGGGCGGAAGCCUGAUCCAGCCAUGCCGCGUGUGUGAAGAAGGCCUUUUGGUUGUAAAGCACUUUAAGCGAGGAGGAGGCUACUUAGAUUAAUACUCUAGGAUAGUGGACGUUACUCGCAGAAUAAGCACCGGCUAACUCUGUGCCAGCAGCCGCGGUAAUACAGAGGGUGCGAGCGUUAAUCGGAUUUACUAGGCGUAAAGCGUGCGUAGGCGGCUGAUUAAGUCGGAUGUGAAAUCCCUGAGCUUAACUUAGGAAUUGCAUUCGAUACUGGUCAGCUAGAGUAUGGGAGAGGAUGGUAGAAUUCCAGGUGUAGCGGUGAAAUGCGUAGAGAUCUGGAGGAAUACCGAUGGCGAAGGCAGCCAUCUGGCCUAAUACUGACGCUGAGGCACGAAAGCAUGGGGAGCAAACAGGAUUAGAUACCCUGGUAGUCCAUGCCGUAAACGAUGUCUACUAGCCGUUGGGGCCUUUGAGGCUUUAGUGGCGCAGCUAACGCGAUAAGUAGACCGCCUGGGGAGUACGGUCGCAAGACUAAAACUCAAAUGAUUGACGGGGGCCCGCACAAGCGGUGGAGCAUGUGGUUUAUUCGAUGCACGCGAGACCUUACCUG